UCCGGUUGAUCCUGCCGGACCUGACUGCUAUCGGAUUGAUACUAAGCCAUGCGAGUCAUUGUAGUAAUACAAGGCAGACGGCUCAGUAACGCGUAGUCAACCUACCCUAUGGACGGGAAUAACCUCGGGAAACUGAGUAUAAUGCCCGAUAGAACACUAUACCUGGAAUGGUUUGUGUUCCAAAUGAUUUAUCGCCAUAGGAUGGGACUGCGGCCUAUCAGUUUGUUGGUGAGGUAAUGGCCCACCAAGACUAUUACAGGUACGGGCUCUGAGAGGAGUGGCCCGGAGAUGGGUACUGAGACACGGACCCAGGCCCUAUGGGGCGCAGCAGGCGAGAAAACUUUGCAAUGUGCGAAAGCACGACAAGGUUAAUCCGAGUGGUUUCUGCUAAAGGAACCUUUUGUUAGUCAUAGAACCACUAUCGAAUAAGGGGUGGGCAAGUUCUGGUGUCAGCCGCCGCGGUAAAACCAGCACCUCAAGUGGUCAGGAUGAUUAUUGGGCCUAAAGCAUCCGUAGCCGGCUCUGUAAGUUUUCGGUUAAAUCUGUACGCUCAACGUACAGGCUGCCGGGAAUACUGCAGAGCUAGGGAGUGGGAGAGGUAGACGGUACUCGGUAGGAAGGGGUAAAAUCCUUUGAUCUAUUGAUGACCACCUGUGGCGAAGGCGGUCUACCAGAACACGUCCGACGGUGAGGGAUGAAAGCUGGGGGAGCAAACCGGAUUAGAUACCCGGGUAGUCCCAGCUGUAAACUAUGCAAACUCAGUGAUGCAUUGGCUUGUGGCCAAUGCAGUGUUGCAGGGAAGCCGUUAAGUUUGCCGCCUGGGAAGUACGUACGCAAGUAUGAAGCUUAAAGGAAUUGGCGGGGGAGCACCACAAGGGGUGAAGCCUGCGGUUCAAUUGGAUUCAACGCCGGAA
rnacentral:rRNA from 1 species